rnacentral:lncRNA from 1 species
AAUUUUGGAGAGGCGUUCCUCACAAUCUUCAUAGCAAUGAGCCUUGACCGAGUGAUUGAAGAAGUCUUCAGGAAAGAAAUCACGCAUCGUGAUGGGGAUGGAUGAUCUAUGUGUCGAAAUUUCAUCAUCUUCAACACGUUCAUGUUGCUUUGAAGGUUGACAAGAGCUGCUUUGCCCCCUUUCCGAUUGGCAGACUUGUGGAGGAGACGUAUGCUUCUUGUGCAAUUUCUUAGGAGUGACUUGAGUCCAUCCUUCAACUUUGCUUGUCUUUGAGGAUGCCCCCAGCGGUUGAGGUGAAAACUUUGAGUUGGAAGAGCCAAAAGUGAUGGUGGUAUAGUUUGACUUCACCACAUCGUCAAGAUCUAGCUCGAUGAUUCAUUUUUUAGCCAGCUUCAUGAUGAGAUCUUUCAACACGAAGCACUUUUUUGUCGGAUGACUGAUGAAGCGGUGGAAU